GUGAAAUUUUUAAUUAGGGGGAAUUUCUUUAAUAAUCUGUUGGAGCUAAAAAGUUUAGGUAAAAAACCAGGAUUAGAUACCCUGCUAUUCUAGAUAAUAGUGUGAAUGGGGUAGUAAAAGUUGUUCUUCAAACCCAAAGAUUUUGGCGGCAUCCUAUCCUAAUAGAGGAGCUUGUCCUGUAAUUGAUAAUCCUCACUUUAUCUUACCUCUUUUUGUGUAGCUUGUAUACCGCCGUUGUCAGAUUACUUUAGAAGAAUGUUUUCAAGAAAAAUAUUUUUUUUACUUCAGGUCAAGGUGCAGCUUAUGGAGAGGUAGCGAUGAGCUACAAUUUACAUUAAAAAUAUGAAUUCUAGGUUUAAAAUCCGGUGGAAAGUGGAUUUAUUAGUAAAUUUACUUAAGUAUAGUAAGUUGAAUGAGGCAAUGGGGUGUGCACAUAUCGCCCGUCACUCUCUUCUUAAG
rnacentral:rRNA from 1 species